UACGUAGGGUGCGAGCGUUAAUCGGAAUUACUGGGCGUAAAGCGUGCGCAGGCGGCGCGUUAAGACAGGUGUGAAAGCCCCGAGCUUAACUUGAGAAUUGCGCUUGUGACUGGCGUGCUGGAGUGUGGCAGAGGGAGGUGGAAUUCCACGUGUAGCAGUGAAAUGCGUAGAGAUGUGGAGGAACACCGAUGGCGAAGGCAGCCUCCUGGGCCAGCACUGACGCUCAUGCACGAAAGCGUGGGGAGCAAACAGG
rnacentral:rRNA from 1 species